rnacentral:rRNA from 1 species
AUUUCUGCUCCAUGGUUUACUAAAUAGCCGCAGUACUCUGACUGUGCAAAGGUAGCAUAAUCAAUUGGCUCCUAAUUAGAGUCUGGUAUGAAUGAAUAUAUGGAAAUAAGCUGUCUUUAAAUAUUUUUAUUAAAUUGGUAGUAAGUGCAAAUCCUUACGAAAAUAUUAAAGACGAGAAGACCCUAGAAGCUUUAUUAAUUUUUUGUUGGGGCGACAGAACUACAGUUAACUAGUUUUAUGUAACAUGACGCGUACUGAAAGAAUAAGUUACUCUAGGGAUAACAGCAUAAUGUAACCGUUUGUGACCUCGAUGUUGGACUAGGUAAAGGAUCCUUUAGAAGAGGGUAAAUUUGGCUCUGUUCGAGCAGGAAAACCU